UACAGAGGGGGCAAGCGUUGUUCGGAAUUACUGGGCGUAAAGGGCGCGUAGGCGGCCUGCUAAGUCGAACGUGAAAUCCCCGGGCUCAACCCGGGAACUGCGUCCGAUACUGGUAGGCUUGAAUCCGGGAGAGGGAUGCGGAAUUCCAGGUGUAGCGGUGAAAUGCGUAGAUAUCUGGAGGAACACCGGUGGCGAAGGCGGCAUCCUGGACCGGUAUUGACGCUGAGGCGCGAAAGCCAGAGGAGCAAACGGG
rnacentral:rRNA from 1 species